AGCGUACACGGUGGAUGCCCUGGCAGUCAGAGGCGAUGAAGGACGUGCUAAUCUGCGAAAAGCGUCGGUAAGGUGAUAUGAACCGUUAUAGCCGGCGAUGUCCGAAUGGGGAAACCCAGUGCAAUUCGUUGCACUAUCGUUAACUGAAUACAUAGGUUAACGAGGCGAACCGGGGGAACUGAAACAUCUAAGUACCCCGAGGAAAAGAAAUCAACCGAGAUUCCCCCAGUAGCGGCGAGCGAACGGGGAGCAGCCCAGAGUCUGAAUCAGCUUGUGUGUUAGUGGAACGGUCUGGAAAGUCCGACGGUACAGGGUGAUAGUCCCGUACACCAAAAUGCACAGGUUGUGAACUCGAAGAGUAGGGCGGGACACGUGGUAUCCUGUCUGAAUAUGGGGGGACCAUCCUCCAAGGCUAAAUACUCCUGACUGACCGAUAGUGAACCAGUACCGUGAGGGAAAGGCGAAAAGAACCCCGGCGAGGGGAGUGAAAAAGAACCUGAAACCGUGUACGUACAAGCAGUGGGAGCACCUUCGGGUGUGACUGCGUACCUUUUGUAUAAUGGGUCAGCGACUUAUAUUCUGUAGCAAGGUUAACCGUAUAGGGGAGCCGCAGGGAAACCGAGUCUUAACUGGGCGUUAAGUUGCAGGGUAUAGACCCGAAACCCGGUGAUCUAGCCAUGGGCAGGUUGAAGGUUGGGUAACACUAACUGGAGGACCGAACCGACUAAUGUUGAAAAAUUAGCGGAUGACUUGUGGCUGGGGGUGAAAGGCCAAUCAAACCGGGAGAUAGCUGGUUCUCCCCGAAAGCUAUUUAGGUAGCGCCUCGUGAAUUCAUCUUCGGGGGUAGAGCACUGUUUCGGCUAGGGGGUCAUCCCGACUUACCAACCCGAUGCAAACUACGAAUACCGAAGAAUGUUAUCACGGGAGACACACGGCGGGUGCUAACGUCCGUCGUGAAGAGGGAAACAACCCAGACCGCCAGCUAAGGUCCCAAAGUCAUGGUUAAGUGGGAAACGAUGUGGGAAGGCACAGACAGCCAGGAUGUUGGCUUAGAAGCAGCCAUCAUUUAAAGAAAGCGUAAUAGCUCACUGGUCGAGUCGGCCUGCGCGGAAGAUGUAACGGGGCUAAACCAUGCACCGAAGCUGCGGCAGCGACACUAUGUGUUGUUGGGUAGGGGAGCGUUCUGUAAGCCUGCGAAGGUGUGCUGUGAGGCAUGCUGGAGGUAUCAGAAGUGCGAAUGCUGACAUAAGUAACGAUAAAGCGGGUGAAAAGCCCGCUCGCCGGAAGACCAAGGGUUCCUGUCCAACGUUAAUCGGGGCAGGGUGAGUCGACCCCUAAGGCGAGGCCGAAAGGCGUAGUCGAUGGGAAACAGGUUAAUAUUCCUGUACUUGGUGUUACUGCGAAGGGGGGACGGAGAAGGCUAUGUUAGCCGGGCGACGGUUGUCCCGGUUUAAGCAUGUAGGCUGGUUGUCCAGGCAAAUCCGGAUAAUCAAGGCUGAGGUGUGAUGACGAGGCACUACGGUGCUGAAGUAACAAAUGCCCUGCUUCCAGGAAAAGCCUCUAAGCAUCAGGUAACAUUAAAUCGUACCCCAAACCGACACAGGUGGUCAGGUAGAGAAUACCAAGGCGCUUGAGAGAACUCGGGUGAAGGAACUAGGCAAAAUGGUGCCGUAACUUCGGGAGAAGGCACGCUGGUGUGUAGGUGAAGUCCCUGCGGAUGGAGCUGAGACCAGUCGAAGAUACCAGCUGGCUGCAACUGUUUAUUAAAAACACAGCACUGUGCAAACACGAAAGUGGACGUAUACGGUGUGACGCCUGCCCGGUGCCGGAAGGUUAAUUGAUGGGGUUAUCCGUAAGGAGAAGCUCUUGAUCGAAGCCCCGGUAAACGGCGGCCGUAACUAUAACGGUCCUAAGGUAGCGAAAUUCCUUGUCGGGUAAGUUCCGACCUGCACGAAUGGCGUAAUGAUGGCCAGGCUGUCUCCACCCGAGACUCAGUGAAAUUGAACUCGCUGUGAAGAUGCAGUGUACCCGCGGCAAGACGGAAAGACCCCGUGAACCUUUACUAUAGCUUGACACUGAACAUUGAGCCUUGAUGUGUAGGAUAGGUGGGAGGCUUUGAAGCGUGGACGCCAGUCUGCGUGGAGCCAACCUUGAAAUACCACCCUUUAAUGUUUGAUGUUCUAACGUUGGCCCCUGACCGGGGUUGCGGACAGUGUCUGGUGGGUAGUUUGACUGGGGCGGUCUCCUCCCAAAGCGUAACGGAGGAGCACGAAGGUUAGCUAAUCCUGGUCGGACAUCAGGAGGUUAGUGCAAUGGCAUAAGCUAGCUUGACUGCGAGCGUGACGGCGCGAGCAGGUGCGAAAGCAGGUCAUAGU
rnacentral:rRNA from 1 species